CAGUCGAGCGAAUGGAUUGAGAGCUUGCUCUCAAGAAGUUAGCGGCGGCCGGGUGAGUAACACGUGGGUAACCUGCCCAUAAGACUGGGAUAACUCCGGGAAACCGGGGCUAAUACCGGAUAACAUUUUGAACCGCAUGGUUCGAAAUUGAAAGGCGGCUUCGGCUGUCACUUAUGGAUGGACCCGCGUCGCAUUAGCUAGUUGGUGAGGUAACGGCUCACCAAGGCAACGAUGCGUAGCCGACCUGAGAGGGUGAUCGGCCACACUGGGACUGAGACACGGCCCAGACUCCUACGGGAGGCAGCAGUAGGGAAUCUUCCGCAAUGGACGAAAGUCUGACGGAGCAACGCCGCGUGAGUGAUGAAGGCUUUCGGGUCGUAAAACUCUGUUGUUAGGGAAGAACAAGUGCUAGUUGAAUAAGCUGGCACCUUGACGGUACCUAACCAGAAAGCCACGGCUAACUACGUGCCAGCAGCCGCGGUAAUACGUAGGUGGCAAGCGUUAUCCGGAAUUAUUGGGCGUAAAGCGCGCGCAGGUGGUUUCUUAAGUCUGAUGUGAAAGCCCACGGCUCAACCGUGGAGGGUCAUUGGAAACUGGGAGACUUGAGUGCAGAAGAGGAAAGUGGAAUUCCAUGUGUAGCGGUGAAAUGCG
rnacentral:rRNA from 1 species